rnacentral:tRNA from 1 species
GCCGGUGUAGCUCAGUUGCCAGAGCAGCGAACUCGUAACGCGCAGGUCUGCGGUUCGAGUCCGUACACUGGCUCCA